rnacentral:rRNA from 1 species
UACGGAGGAUGCGAGCGUUAUCCGGAUUUAUUUGGGUUUAAAGGGUGCGUAGGCGACUUAGUAAGUCAGCGGUGUAAAUUUUGCAGCUUAACUGUAACAGUGCCGUUGAUACUGCCAGGCUAGGAUUUGGUUGCUGUGGGUGGAAUGUGUGGUGUAGCGGUGAAAUGCUUAGAUAUCACACAGAAUAUCGAUUGCGAAGGCAGCUCACAAAGCCAAGAUUGACGCUGAGGCACGAAAGUGUGGGGAUCAAACA